UGGGGAAUCUUGCACAAUGGGCGAAAGCCUGAUGCAGCGACGCCGCGUGCGGGAUGAAGGCCUUCGGGUUGUAAACCGCUUUCAGCAGGGACGAGGCCGCAAGGUGACGGUACCUGCAGAAGAAGCCCCGGCUAACUACGUGCCAGCAGCCGCGGUAAUACGUAGGGGGCAAGCGUUAUCCGGAUUCAUUGGGCGUAAAGCGCGCGUAGGCGGUCUGUUAGGUCAGGAGUCAAAUCUGGGGGCUCAACCCCUAUCCGCUCCUGAUACCGGCAGGCUUGAGUCUGGUAUGGGAAGGUGGAAUUCCAAGUGUAGCGAUGAAAUGCGCAGAUAUUUGGAAGAACACCAGUGGCGAAGGCGGCCUUCUGGGCCAUGACUGACGCUGAGGCGCGAAAGCUAGGGGAGCGAACAGG
rnacentral:rRNA from 1 species